rnacentral:rRNA from 1 species
UCGGGUACAAUUGAGACAGGUGGUGCAUGGUUGUCGUCAGCUCGUGUCGUGAGAUGUUGGGUUAAGUCCCGCAACGAGCGCAACCCUUGUCCUUAGUUACCAGCACGUUAUGGUGGGCACUCUAAGGAGACUGCCGGUGACAAACCGGAGGAAGGUGGGGAUGACGUCAAGUCAUCAUGGCCCUUACGGCCUGGGCUACACACGUGCUACAAUGGUCGGUACAAAGGGUUGCCAAGCCGCGAGGUGGAGCUAAUCCCAUAAAACCGAUCGUAGUCCGGAUCGCAGUCUGCAACUCGACUGCGUGAAGUCGGAAUCGCUAGUAAUCGUGAAUCAGAAUGUCACGGUGAAUACGUUCCCGGGCCUU